UGGGGAAUUUUGCACAAUGGGGGCAACCCUGAUGCAGCGACGCCGCGUGAUUUAGAAGGCCUUCGGGUUGUAAAAAUCUUUUGUAUAGGAAGAAAAUGACAGUACUAUACGAAUAAGGUCCGGCUAAUUAUGUGCCAGCAGCCGCGGUAAUACGUAAGGACCGAGCGUUGUCCGGAAUCAUUGGGCGUAAAGGGUACGUAGGCGGUUAAAAAAGUUAGAAGUGAAAGGCUAUAGCUCAACUAUAGUAAGCUUUUAAAACUGUUUAACUUGAGAGAUGGAAGGGAAAGUGGAAUUCCUAGUGUAGCGGUGAAAUGCGCAGAUAUUAGGAGGAAUACCGGUGGCGAAGGCGACUUUCUGGCCAUUAUCUGACGCUGAGGUACGAAGGCGUGGGUAGCAAACAGG
rnacentral:rRNA from 1 species